rnacentral:rRNA from 1 species
AUGUCCCUUGUCAGUCGGGUGCCUAUGGAUCUACCGUCUGACCACGAUGAUCUGAUUGUUUGGAUUCGUAGGCUGAUGACCAGGUCAAUUGUUUGGAUUCCUGUGAAGCAACAAAGAAGCUGCUGGCAACGGCAAGUGCCAUCAAGGAUCUCCGCCUCAUCUUCUACCUUGCAGACUCAUCUCACCUGCACAACAUUGGGCAGGCUGUUGGCAAUGUCGUCCAGAGUGGGAACAUAG